AAAAACGUUACUCAUCGCAUCACAUGGAUGCCUCGACUCUGUACUCCGAAGAAGGACGUAGCCAGCUGCGAUAAGCCUCGGCAAGCCGCUAGGCAGGCGCUUGUAGCCGGGGAUUUCCGAAUGGGGAAACCCCAUGGAAGUUAUAUUCCAUGACCCCGCACUGUUAAGGUGUGGGGAGGUCACUCUGCGAACUGAAACAUCUCAGUAGCAGGGGAAAAGAAAUCAAAUAGAGAUUCUCCGAGUAGCGGCGAGCGAAAGGGGAACAGCCUAAACCUCGUGCUUGCACGGGGGGUUGUAGGACCUCUUGUACCGAUUCUGCUGUCAUAGACGAACGUCCCUGGAACGGGCGGCCAUAGCGGGUGAGAGCCCCGUAGUCGAAAUGACAAAAGACGGGUGAGGAUUCCUGAGUAAGGUCGGACACGUGAAAUCCGGCCCGAAUCCGGGUGGACCACCAUCCAAGGCUAAACAGGUACAGAGUUCAAUAGCGGAUAGUACCGUGAGGGAACGGUGAAAAGCACCCCGGAAGGGGGAUGAAAUAGUCUCUGAAAUGUGAUGCGUUCAAGGAAUGGGAGCGGGUCCCACUUGUGGGUUCGACGGAGGUGGAUGUUGUUGUACUCGAGUGGAGAAGAAUUGUGAAUAAUGAAUAAAGAAUUAUGAACGAAUGAUGCUUCUAUUUCCGUCAUUCCUCAUUCUUAAUUCUUACUUCUUCAUCCCUUUGAGAAAAGCAGCAAUUAUCCAUCAUCGAAUCCAGAAGCGGGGCCCGUGACCGUGUGCCUUUUGCAUAAUGAGCCAACGAGUUUGUUGUCAGUGGCAAGGCUAAGGCAGUUCAUAGCCGGAGCCGGAGCGAAAGCGAGUCUGAAUAGGGCGUUUAGUCGCUGGCACAAGACCCGAAACCGGGUGAGCUAUCCAUGGGCAGGGUGAAGUCCCGCGAAAGCGGGAUGAAGGCCCGAACCAUUUGGUGUCACAAGACCAAGGGAUGACCUGUGGAUAGGAGCGAAAAACUUAUCGAACCCGGAGAUAGCUGGUUCUCCUCGAAAUGCCUUUAGGGGCAGCCUCGUCACGCACGGCGGGGGGUAGAGCGACUGUUUGGGUGCGGGGGUCUUUUUGGACCUACCAAAUCCUGACAAACUCCGAAUACCCGCCCUUUGGUGACGGGAGUGAGACGGUGACGGCAAAGCGCCAUCGUCGAAAGGGAAAGAGCCCAGACCAUUUGCUAAGGUCCCCAAUCGAUCGCUCAGUGGUAAAGGAAGUGCAGGUGCAUAAACAGCCAGGAGGUUGGCUUAGAAGCAGCCAUCCUUUAAAGAAAGCGUAACAGCUCACUGGUCUAUGUAUCUGUGCGCCGAAAAUUACCGGGGCAAAGCGAUCAACCGAAGCAAUGGGUGUGCGGUUCCUUCGGGAGCCGUACGCAGUAGAGGAGCGUUCCGUCCAGCAGUGAAGCAGUAUCGCGAGGUAUUGUGGAGCGGACGGAAGCGAGAAUGUUGGCAUGAGUAACUACUAGGCAGGUGAAAACCCUGCCCGCCGAAUCCCCAAGGUUUCCCACGCAACGUCAAUCGGCGUGGGGUUAGUCGGUCCUAAGGCGAGGCCGAAAGGCGUAGCCGAUGGAGAGCAGGUCAACAUUCCUGCACCUCCUGAGGAUCGUUCAAGGGCGGCAGUUGAACGUUUGUCCGACCUCUGUUCUCCACCAUUUUGGAAUUGAGAGGAAUGAUGAAUAAAGAAUUAGGAAUUAAGGACAGUCUCCGUAAUUCAUAAUUCAUACUUCUUGAUUCUCCUACGAUUCUAGAAUGGUGGAGAAUAUGCCUGAUGAAAAGGAUACUGUCGUUCUAGGAGCGGUGUGACGGAGAGGGACGUCCAGAGCGUCUCAUUGACUUGACGUGGAAGGUACAAAGCGUUGAUCCCGGGAGGGAAAUCCCCCGGGUGAGCUGAGUGCCGAUCCCGAUUACUCCGCGCAAGCGGGGCGAGUCUGAACCGUUCCACUCCCAAGAAAACCGUCGCUCCGAGAGUCUCAGGAGACCGUACCGCAAACCGACUCCGGUGGGGUGGUCGAGUAGACCAAGGUGAACGAGAGAACUCGCGUUAAGGAACUCGGCAAUGAAGCGUCCGUAACUUCGGGAUAAGGACUGCCCUUCUUCGCAAGAAGUUGGGCCGCAGCGAAAGAGCCCAGGCGACUGUUUAUCAAAAACACAGGUCCCUGCGAAGCCGUAAGGCAAUGUAUAGGGGCUGAUGCCUGCCCAGUGUCAGAAGGUCACGUGAGAGGGUGUAUGCCUUCAAACUAAGCCCUGAUGAACGGCGGCCGUAACUAUAACGGUCCUAAGGUAGCGAAAUUCCUUGUCGGGUGGUCGAUAAGAAACUUGCCCGAAUGUCGCCGCAAGGCGCAGCACUAAGGAAUCAGCCGUGUUGAAGUAAACAGAUCACUUCUAUCUUUCAGAGUUCCUAUAAGUAGAAAUAUCAGCGUUGUACAAAACCAAGUGUAAAACGUCGCUAUAUGCUGGAACAUCCCAUGCAUCCCCUAUGCCGCAAGGUACGGGGUGGGGACAAUCAGCAGGAAACAUCAGCAUCAUGCUGGUGGCUCCUCAGAGACUACACGCGACGGGACGAGCGAAGAAUUAAGAAGUAAGAAUUAAGAAUUAUGAAAAAGGAAUUGUUAUUUAUUCCUUCAUUCUUAAUUCCAAAUUCAUAAUUCCCCCUCGUUCAUGAUAUAGUCCGAUCCCUGUGGCGACACAGGGUGGGAGUGAAAACGCCUCCCGACCUGAUUCAUUUCGAAUCGGGGAACGAGCGAGAAGAAAGAAGUAAGAAUUAUGAAUUAAAGAAUAGAUAAUAUUCUUUAUUCUUAAUUCCUUAUUCCUCAUUCUGGUCUGUGCGCUCCGGUUUCAAUCGGAGUCUCGUCUUACCAACGAGGGAACACGCGCCACAAAUUCCAUUCGGAAAUAACGCGCCGAAGGCAAGCUCCGCUUGCCUGGAGGCGCAACCGCCGAAAGGGAAAGGGUGGCUCGUGGAGGGAAAACCGCGAGGUUUUCCAUUCACGCCUAGUGAAGUUCCGACCCGCACGAAUGGUACAACGGUCUGGGCACUGUCUCGACGCGAGACUCGGUGAAAUUGCAAUCCUGGUGCAAAUGCCAGGUAGAUCACGGAAGGACGAAAAGACCCUAUGAAGCUUUACUAUAAGCUGGCAUUGCAUUGUUAGUUUGCUUGCGCAGCAUAGGUGGGACCCUCUGAAGCCGGGACUUUGGUUUCGGUGGAGGGGCCAGUGAGAUACCACCCUUGCGUUCUGACGAUGCUCACCCCUCGGCAUAUACUCCGAAGGGGACAGUGCUUGCCGGGUAGUUUAACUGGGGCGGUUGCCUCCUAAAGCGUAACGGAGGCGCACAAAGGUCAACUAGCGCCGGAUGGAAAUCGGCGUUGUCGUGUAAUCGCACACGUUGGCCUGACUGCGAGGCUUACAGGCCGAGCAGAGACGAAAGUCGGUGAUAGUGAUCCGGCACCCGAGCGUCUAACCACGCUCUUCCCACGUGGGUGGGGUGUCGCUCAACGGAUAAAAGUUACUCUAGGGAUAACAGGCUGAUCGCUCCCAAGCGCCCACAGCGACGGAGCGGUUUGGCACCUCGAUGUCGGCUCAUCACAUCCUGGGGCUGGAGAAGGUCCCAAGGGUUUGGCUGUUCGCCAAUUAAAGUGGUACGCGAGCUGGGUUCAGAACGUCGUGAGACAGUUUGGCCUCUAUCCUCCGUGAUCAUUUGGGGACGUGAAAGACGCUGCUCCUAGUACGAGAGGACCGGAGUGGACGAACCUCUGGUGAACCUGCUGUCGCGUCAGCGGCAACGCAGGAUAGCUAUGUUCGGCAGGGAUAACCGCUGAAAGCAUCUAAGCGGGAAGCCCCUCUUGAGAUUGCGUCCCCCCAUAAGCCCGCCGGAAGACGACCGGCUAGAUCGGCCGCAGGUGUACGUACAGCAAUGUACUUAGCCGAGCGGUACGAACGGGCAAUUGAACGUUUUUCU
rfam:Candidatus Peribacter riflensis isolate RIFOXYD1_FTLL_PER-ii_59_16 chromosome, complete genome.